GACGAACGCUGGCGGCGUGCCUAAUACAUGCAAGUCGAGCGCAGGAAACUGACGGAACUCUUCGGAGGGAAGGCAGUGGAAUGAGCGGCGGACGGGUGAGUAACACGUAAGGAACCUGCCUCAAGGAUUGGGAUAACUCCGAGAAAUCGGAGCUAAUACCGGAUAGUUCAACGGACCGCAUGGUCCGCUGAUGAAAGGCGCUCCGGCGUCACCUUGAGAUGGCCUUGCGGUGCAUUAGCUAGUUGGUGGGGUAACGGCCCACCAAGGCGACGAUGAAUAGCCGACCUGCGAGGGUGAUCGGCCACACGGGGACUGAGACACGGCCCAGACUCCUACGGGAGGCAGCAGUAGGGAAUCUUCCACAAUGGACGAAAGUCUGAUGGAGCAACGCCGCGUGAGUGAUGAAGGUUUUCGGAUCGUAAAACUCUGUUGUAAGGGAAGAACACGUACGAGAGGAAAUGCUCGUACCUUGACGGUACCUUACGAGAAAGCCACGGCUAACUACGUGCCAGCAGCCGCGGUAACAC
rnacentral:rRNA from 1 species